AUCCCGAAAGGGCAAACCUACCCGAAAGGGAGGGUCGCAAAGCCAUGGGCCUAAAGCAGGUGGUGCUAGGGCUGCCAGGCUACCGAA
rnacentral:ncRNA from 1 species